AGACGUAGGGGGCAAGCGUUGUCCGGAAUUACUGGGCGUAAAGGGUGCGUAGGCGGCAAUUCAAGUCUGAUGUGAAAUACCCGUGCUUAACAUGGGGGUUGCAUCGGAAACUGAAUAGCUAGAGUGCAGGAGAGGUAAGCGGAAUUCCUAGUGUAGCGGUGAAAUGCAUAGAUAUUAGGAGGAACACCAGUGGCGAAGGCGGCUUACUGGACUGUAACUGACGCUGAAGCACGAAAGCGUGGGGAGC
rnacentral:rRNA from 1 species